rnacentral:rRNA from 1 species
CAGUCGCCGCGGUAACACGGAGGAUGCGAGCGUUAUUCGGAAUCAUUGGGUUUAAAGGGUCUGUAGGCGGGCUAUUAAGUCAGGGGUGAAAGGUCUCAGCUUAACUGAGAAAUUGCCUUUGAUACUGGUAGUCUUGAAUAUCUGUGAAGUUCUUGGAAUGUGUAGUGUAGCGGUGAAAUGCUUAGAUAUUACACAGAACACCGAUUGCGAAGGCAGGGGACUAACAGACAAUUGACGCUGAGAGACGAAAGCGUGGGGAGCGAACAGGAUUAGAUACCCCAGUAGUCCCUGUCUCUUAUAC